rnacentral:rRNA from 1 species
GGGGAAUAUUGCACAAUGGGGGAAACCCUGAUGCAGCGACGCCGCGUGGAGGAAGAAGGUCUUCGGAUUGUAAACUCCUGUUGUUGAGGAAGAUAAUGACGGUACUCAACAAGGAAGUGACGGCUAACUACGUGCCAGCAGCCGCGGUAAAACGUAGGUCACAAGCGUUGUCCGGAAUUACUGGGUGUAAAGGGAGCGCAGGCGGGAAGACAAGUUGGAAGUGAAAUCUAUGGGCUCAACCCAUAAACUGCUUUCAAAACUGUUUUUCUUGAGUAGUGCAGAGGUAGGCGGAAUUCCCGGUGUAGCGGUGGAAUGCGUAGAUAUCGGGAGGAACACCAGUGGCGAAGGCGGCCUACUGGGCACCAACUGACGCUGAGGCUCGAAAGUGUGGGUAGCAAACAGGAUUAGAUACCCUGGUAGUCCACACCGUAAACGAUGAUUACUAGGUGUUGGAGGAUUGACCCCUUCAGUGCCGCAGUUAACACAAUAAGUAAUCCACCUGGGGAGUACGACCGCAAGGUUGAAACUCAAAGGAAUUGACGGGGGCCCGCACAAGCAGUGGAGUAUGUGGUUUAAUUCGACGCAACGCGAAGAACCUUACCAAGUCUUGACAUCCCUUGACGAACAUAGAAAUAUGUUUUCUCUUCGGAGCAAGGAGACAGGUGGUGCAUGGUUGUCGUCAGCUCGUGUCGUGAGAUGUUGGGUUAAGUCCCGCAACGAGCGCAACCCUUAUGGUCAGUUACUACGCAAGGGGACUCUGGCCAGACUGCCGUUGACAAAACGGAGGAAGGUGGGGAUGACGUCAAAUCAUCAUGCCCUUUAUGACUUGGGCUACACACGUACUACAAUGGCGUUAAACAAAGAGAAGCAAGACCGCGAGGUGGAGCAAAACUCAGAAACAACGUCCCAGUUCGGACUGCAGGCUGCAACUCGCCUGCACGAAGUCGGAAUUGCUAGUAAUCGUGGAUCAGCAUGCCACGGUGAAUACGUUCCCG